rnacentral:rRNA from 1 species
GAGGUUAAGCGACUAAGCGUACACGGUGGAUGCCCUGGCAGUCAGAGGCGAUGAAGGACGUGCUAAUCUGCGAUAAGCGCCGGUAAGGUGAUAUGAACCGUUAUAACCGGCGAUUUCCGAAUGGGGAAACCCAGUGUGACUCGUCACACUAUCAUUAACUGAAUCCAUAGGUUAAUGAGGCGAACCGGGGGAACUGAAACAUCUAAGUACCCCGAGGAAAAGAAAUCAACCGAGAUUCCCCCAGUAGCGGCGAGCGAACGGGGAGGAGCCCAGAGCCUGAAUCAGCAUGUGUGUUAGUGGAAGCGUCUGGAAAGGCGCGCGAUACAGGGUGACAGCCCCGUACACAAAAGCGCAUGUGCUGUGAGCUCGAUGAGUAGGGCGGGACACGUGGUAUCCUGUCUGAAUAUGGGGGGACCAUCCUCCAAGGCUAAAUACUCCUGACUGACCGAUAGUGAACCAGUACCGUGAGGGAAAGGCGAAAAGAACCCCGGCGAGGGGAGUGAAAAAGAACCUGAAACCGUGUACGUACAAGCAGUGGGAGCACCCUUUGGGGUGUGACUGCGUACCUUUUGUAUAAUGGGUCAGCGACUUAUAUUCUGUAGCAAGGUUAACCGAAUAGGGGAGCCGGAGGGAAACCGAGUCUUAAUUGGGCGUUAAGUUGCAGGGUAUAGACCCGAAACCCGGUGAUCUAGCCAUGGGCAGGUUGAAGGUUGGGUAACACUAACUGGAGGACCGAACCGACUAAUGUUGAAAAAUU